GAUGAACGCUGGCGGCGUGCCUAAUACAUGCCAGUCGAGCGAACAGACGAGGAGCUUGCUCCUCUGACGUUAGCGGCGGACGGGUGAGUAACACGUGGAUAACCUACCUAUAAGACUGGGAUAACUUCGGGAAACCGGAGCUAAUACCGGAUAAUAUAUUGAACCGCAUGGUUCAAUAGUGAAAGACGGUUUUGCUGUCACUUAUAGAUGGAUCCGCGCCGCAUUAGCUAGUUGGUAAGGUAACGGCUUACCAAGGCAACGAUGCGUAGCCGACCUGAGAGGGUGAUCGGCCACACUGGAACUGAGACACGGUCCAGACUCCUACGGGAGGCAGCAGUAGGGAAUCUUCCGCAAUGGGCGAAAGCCUGACGGAGCAACGCCGCGUGAGUGAUGAAGGUCUUCGGAUCGUAAAACUCUGUUAUUAGGGAAGAACAAAUGUGUAAGUAACUAUGCACGUCUUGACGGUACCUAAUCAGAAAGCCACGGCUAACCACGUG
rnacentral:rRNA from 1 species